CAGACCUGAAAUCAGGCGAGGUUACCCGCUGAACUUAAGCAUAUUAUUAAGCGGAGGAGAAGAAAAUAACUAUGAUUCCCUUAGUAACGGCGAGUGAACCGGGAUCAGCUCAAAGUGGAAAUCAACUGCUCUUUCCGAGCUGUUGACUUGUAGCCUCGAGAGGCGUUACCAGUGGAAGCGCAGGGUUAAGUUUCUUGGGAAAGAACAUCAUAAAGGGUGAGAAUCCCGUCCUUCCCCUGCGUUUUUUGUUCCACGUACGGUACGCUUUUAUAGAGUCGCGUUCAUCGGGAUUUGAGCGCAAAAUGUGUGGUAGGUUUCACAUAAAGCUAAGUACUGGCGCGAGACCGAUAGCAAACAA
rnacentral:rRNA from 1 species